rnacentral:lncRNA from 1 species
UCCUCUGAAGCAACCAUGUCAGGACUGAGCUGUGUGGUCAUUUCAGGAACUCCAGUGUCCAGCCCCAGCCCGAUGAAUGCUGUCUUCACAAGGACCUUGGGGCUCUGAACCCCAACUCUGGGAAGGGUGUCAAGACACCGGCUGACUUCUGGUCCUGCUACUGAGUUCAAGAACAGCCGAAGAGUGAGUGGGAAGAAACCACCACGGCCUCCAAUCAGUCCACUCCGUUGUAGUCUCCCGCGGCCACGUUCACUGCCUCCACAGAACAAGGAACAUGUGAAGAGAAGAAACAGGAGAGGGAAGCAGAAGAGGGAGGGGAAGAAAANNNNNNNNNNGGAGGAGGUGGGCAACAGGGAGGAGGUGGGCAACAGGGAGGAGGUGGGCAACAGGGAGGAGGUGGGCAACAGGGGGUGAGGGUGGAGGAGGAGAGGGAAGGUAAGGAGCUGUAAACACCGGGUCCUGCAGUGAAGGUGCAUGCUUCGCAUCCCAAACCUUUGCACGGUUUCACUUUUAGGCAGCAACAAGACUUCAUUAUAAGCCAAAAAGAUUUACUUUGGUAAAACUUUCCCCAUAGGGAAUUUUAGGGGAAUCUCAGCUGAAAAGAACACAGGUGCAUGGACUCAAAGCUACAGUUCUAACACAAGGCCUAGAGCAGCGUGAAGCUUGCAGCCAGCACUGACUCUGGGCUUAGUGCUCUCUCCCUCUCUCUCUCUCUUUCUCUCUCCCUCUCUCUCUCUCCCUCCCUCUCUCUCCCUCUCUCUCUCCCUCCCUCCCCCUCUCUCCCUCCCUCCCCCCUCUCUCCCUCCCUCCCUCCCUCCUCCCCCUCUCUCUCUCCCUCUCUCUCGGGGGUCCCCUCACUGUGUUGCCUAGGGUGGCACUGGAAUCCUGAGCUCAAGCAAUCCUCCUGCCUCAUCUUCUGAGAAGCUGGGGUCACAGUUGUGCCCCAGUGCCUAGUUUUACCUGCCGGCUUUCAAAUGAUCAUUAAGAAGAAAUGGGAGAAGCCGAGACAAGACAAGCAGCCACCACCCCCUCAGUGGGAAUUUAAGUGUGAAAACUAAGAAGCCCAAAGGAUAAGAAAGGCCAAAGCAGGAAAGUGGGCUGGAGCACACGUUUAAGAACUGGGUUCGAACUCCCAAUCUUCUAGCAGACAUUUAGAAAGUGUUCUCCCUAAAGAGAAACAAGAAGAAAUAGGGUAGGAAUGUCAGCAUGGCUCCAUGGGUAAAGGCAUUCUG